UACGUAGGGUGCAAGCGUUAAUCGGAAUUACUGGGCGUAAAGCGUGCGCAGGCGGUUGUGCAAGACCGAUGUGAAAUCCCCGGGCUCAACCUGGGAAUGGCAUUGGUGACUGUACGGCUAGAGUGUGUCAGAGGGGGGUAGAAUUCCACGUGGUAGCAGUGAAAUGCGUAGAGAUGUGGAGGAAUACCGAUGGCGAAGGCAGCCCCCUGGGAUAACACUGACGCCUCAUGCACGAAAGCGUGGGGAGCAAAAGGG
rnacentral:rRNA from 1 species